rnacentral:lncRNA from 1 species
UUAAUUACAAAAGUAAAUAUAUAAUAUAAUAUUUGUUGCUGCCUUGUUCUAUAUAAAUGUUUCUAACAUGCAGGUAACAUUUAUAUAUGUAUUAGUUUAAAUAAAUCAUUUUAAUAAAGUUACAUUAUAGGCAGGAAUGUUUGACUGGAAAUAUAAACGAUGUUGUACAUAAUGCAGAUAGCUUAGGCAAAAAAGAGAUUGGUGAAAUGGAGAAUGAGACUAACUAGGGUGAAAAAAAAUGAAUAUUAAUAUGUGAAUGGUACUUUGUUUAACAUCUACCUGUUUCUACAGAUACAGUACAGACGCAUUUAUAAAUGGGCUUGAUGUUUUUUUGAAUUAAAUAUGUUGUAUUGA